GUUUCAGUAAAAAAUCGAAAAAAUCUACGCAUUGAUAGAUUGGAACUAAAAUUUUCAAAAGCACUCUAUGGUUUACCAUAUUAUUUUCAAUAGCAAUACCAGAAGAAGAAUACCUAGCAGGAAUAGAUGAAUGUAAACAUAACCUUCAUGGUAGAAUUGUUUGGCCCAAAGGUUCUUUUCCUCUCACUGUACUUGCCUUGAAGCAGAAGCUAGCUCCUCUAUGUUGGAACACUAGUGUAUAUUGGCAAAAACUUGGAGUAUACUAGUUGUUAUGUGGAGACUUUGAAAUGUAAACACAAGGAUGUAGAAACUAGUGUAAAGUGUGAAUUGAAAAUUUUAUGUCCCACAUUGGAUAGAUCACACACUCUAGUAGUGUUUAUAUAUGUGGGAAAUCACUUCCAAGGAUGUGCCCUUGGGGUACCUACUUUUGUGAACGGAGUGAGCGCUAGCCAAAAAUUAUAUAAGCUACGCCGCCGUUCGACCGGCUCGGCUGGGCCUUAAAGAAAUAUAUUUUUUGGCGCUU
rnacentral:lncRNA from 1 species